UUGAACGCUGGCGGCAUGCUUUACACAUGCAAGUCGAACGGUAGAGGGCUUCGGCCCUUGAGAGUGGCGAACGGGUGAGUAAUGCAUCGGAACAUACCCAGUCGUGGGGGAUAACGUAGCGAAAGUUACGCUAAUACCGCAUACGUCCUGAGGGAGAAAGCGGGGGAUCGCAAGACCUCGCGCGAUUGGAGUGGCCGAUGUCAGAUUAGCUAGUUGGUGGGGUAAAGGCCCACCAAGGCGACGAUCUGUAGCGGGUCUGAGAGGAUGAUCCGCCACACUGGGACUGAGACACGGCCCAGACUCCUACGGGAGGCAGCAGUGGGGAAUUUUGGACAAUGGGGGCAACCCUGAUCCAGCCAUGCCGCGUGCGGGAAGAAGGCCUUCGGGUUGUAAAGCUCUUUCAGCAGGAACGAAACGGUAGGCUUUAAUACGGUCUGCUAAUGACGGUACCUGCAGAAGAAGCACCGGCUAACUACGU
rnacentral:rRNA from 1 species